UUCUGGUCAGUUCAGGGAGAACCAGUUAGCAGGGUGGCAAAGGCUGUUCCCCAUGACAUCAGCAGUCCCUUCUCUGGACAUUCUAUUGUAUCCUGGAGAGCUCUUGGCAUCCCCUGUGAUGUCACCAGUGUAGAGACACCAACAUCACUUAGGGCAUUCCUUCAGUGUCUGUAGGGUACACCAUAGACAUGUUGUCAAGACUGAGGAGUCUACUUGGGAGAGAGAAUUGAGAACAUCCAGAGUCCAGAGAGAGACGGAAGGAAGCUGGCAUCCAGGCUCAGAGGAAAACAGGAACAUAUAAGUGGUUCUGGCAAAGGCACACAGGGACUACUGAGGAGGCACCAUCCCAAUUCUCCACCUUCACUGCGCAGGAGCAGCAAAUGAAAAAAAAAUAAAGAAACUCACCAUUCAGUUACAUAUUAUGAUAUGUGAGAGAAACGAGCUGCGUGGAAUCCUGGCCAAUUAUACCAACAAGGAUUUGAACAACAGGGCCAUGCUUUACCACAGGCUGAAUUUUGAGCUUGAGAUGUUCAAAAUGGAACAUAAUCAGAUGAUAUCUGAGCUGCAGAAAUUGCCCAUGGAGAUCAGUGAUGCCUUGGACAACUGCAAGGGGCUGAUUGAGGAAACUGAAUCCAUCAGUUACCUCCAUGACCAGGUCCUCCGAGAUUGGACUCAGAUGAAGAAGAAUGUACAUGUGUUGAGACUCAAGAACAGACUGCUAUGGAAGGAACAGAUUGAACUGCAAGAUUCCUGUGAGGAUCUGAAGAGUCUCUUGAAGGAGGCCCAUGAGAUGAUCUGUGAGCCUUCUGCUGAUCAGCAACUGGUAGCCUGAGGCAUUGGGGACAGGCUGCAUACCUGUCCAACCAUAAAAAUAGAGACACCCAUAUAAUUAUCCAUCCAGACUCCUACCUACAUACCAUCCAAGUGUUGUUUUCUGUGAUCACUCCCAAGUCUUUCUGGAGAGUUAGCCUCUUGCAAGAAUCUGGAUAAUUGACAAGGAAACCCUCCUGCUCUGCUAGGAGCUGCAGUACAUUCAGGGAGAUGGGUCAGUCACAUAUCAAACACCUACAUGUCAUUAUGAUCAGAGGGCUGCUAUGCAGGGAGCUCCUUAGGGAACAGCACAAAGCUUUCAUUGAUGAUGUCAGUGGCCUGUGGCUCAUUUGCUUUGCAGGGGUCAUGUGAGAUCACAGGUAGGAAGCACCCUGCAGGGACUAGAGCCCAUUGCCAGUGCCAAGUGAGUGGUUCUCAUUGUCAAUGUUUUGUGUGGCAUGUGGUCUUCUCCUUUCUUCCUGCAUCCCAGUAUGUUCUCUUCCUUUUGCCAAGCUGUUGGUUCAAAGUGACAGAAGCCUGAGUAGCACCUUGUUAGCCCUUUUUCUGUGCAUGGUGCUGGACAGUUCUCCCAUCCUGGAGCUUCCAGUCUGGAGCUGACUGGAUGACCAUAGAUGUGGGAGGACUUUGACAGGGUGAGGGUUGGGGUGACAGAUUUGAAGCUUCAAGAGAACAUUUUGUUCAAUCACCUCAACAUAAUCUGACUAAGCUGUGUUCUCUUCUAGGAAUUUUUAGUCCCCAAGGGAUGGAUAGUAGUGUUGUGGGUCUCAGUUGAAACACCUGAUGUGAUUAUUCUAAAUUCAACUGUUUAUUCAGCAUGUGUCCUCUUCAUGUUUUUUUUUUUCUCACUUCUGAUUUCUGUAGUCUGUCUAUGAUCUAUGCAGGCCUGUGUAAAUGUGUACAUUGGUGGGUGUGUUCAGAGGCUACAUAAUAAAAUCUCAUGUUACCAUCUGUGGCCCACUCCCUUAUUCCCUUAGAGCCCAGGUUUUCACUGAACCUGAAAUUUUCUGUUUGGGCUAAUGGUCUGGCCAGCACUCUUUGGAUCUCCUGUCCUCCAAGGUAGACCUUCUGUCUUGUUUUGUCUCAUCCAAUUGUUACAAGUUUCAAUUGCUCAGAAAGAGGAAGAAUGGAGUAGCUUUCUCUUUUGUUUAUUUACUUUUAUUGUGCUUAUAUUAAUGUAUUUUCUAAUAAGUUACAAAAAUCAAACAAAACAACUAUUUUAAAAAUAAACAUAUCCUUGCUGACAUUGUGUUGCUGACUAUAGCAUGUGCAUGGCUGUGUCUCAGAACAGAUUCCCUCUCAUAGUUGUGCAGAGUGCUGGGUUCCUGAAAAGCACUGCAGGUGAUGUCACUGGCCUCCUCCUGACUGACAUUGGGCUGAAUUCAUAUCAUAUGCACUGUCAUCUGUUGACAACUUCCUGGGUGUUGACCAUGGGUCACUUUCUUUCACUUGAGUUAUCAAGGUCUUCUUGGAGGAGCUAGGGUAGGUUUAGUGCAGAAAUGUGAUAGAUCAACUUGGAACCUGUGGAAUCCUGGAGUGUUGGGAUGGAUUAAGUUCAUGAAAAUAAAUGUAAGUGCAGGCCAGGGUAGCAGAGCCUGGCUCAGUCUGGGAGACAGCAUCGAGGACACACAACUUCCCCCCGCAGCAGAAAAGGUUCUGCAAGUCAGCAUUCUUCUCACUGGCCAUUCUGGUUCAGGGUGUGUGUGUGUGUGUGUGUGUGUGUGUGUGAAACUCCCUGUGAUUGUCUGUAUGUGAAUACUGUCUAUUCCUUGUACAAUAGCAUUCCUUUGUAUGUGUGUAUGUGACCAUGUGUGGGUAAAUAUGUAUGUAUGUGUGUCCAUGUUUUCUGUAUGUAUGGGGGUAAGUGCUUAUGUGUGUGUUUGUGAGUUGGGUGCUUAUAUGUGCAAGUGUGUGUGGAUAUGUAAACUCUUGUGUGUAUGUGUGUUUCUGUAUAUUUAUAUGUUCACUUACUCAUCUUUACUAAUCAUGGAGUCCAGCUUUGUUGAAAAAGUACCGUGCACACUCACUUUGUAUCCAUCAAAUAUUGUAUGCUGCUGCCCAUCUUUCUGCAUGCCCACCUAGCUCUCUAGGACAAAAGGACACAAAACUACUCUAAGUCAAUGGUUUUCAGGUAUUUGUAUAGGGAAAAACAUUUAUCUUCACAGAAAUUCUUGGAGCAAACUAAAGGAAUGUGGUACAGGAAUGUGAAGAGGAGGCCACUGUGUCUGAGAGCAGCAUAGGCUGAUUGAGGGUUUGUGUCUCUUCUCUGCUCUGGGUGAAUGGUGACUGCACACUCAAUGGUCAGGUGGCUUGCUGUGUCUUCUCUGUAUCCUGUUUUGUCCUCAUCCACAUUGCCUGCUACCACUUGCUUUCCCCCUUUGUCUAACCUUGGCUCAGUUAACCUUGGCCUUGGAGCUUGGCCUGGGUGUUAGUCCUUGAGAGAUUCUGACGUGCAGUGUGCUUCCAGCUGUAUCUCAAUCCAGCAGAAGUUCCCUAGCCAUGCUGUGGUGUGAAAAUGGGGCUGUCUCAGUGCACCCCACUUAGGCUCCUGAGGGUCUAAAGCGCUCACUUUGUUCUGUAUCUGUAGCACUCAGUAACUGCUUUUCUUCAAAGUUGUUUACUCUGAAUUAAAAUCAGCCUCAAGGAAGGUUGGCAGAAAUGAGGACCCUCAGACAUUGCUGGUGGUAUAAAAUGAUAUAGCACAGUGAGAAGCCACACACAAGUAUUCAAAAAGAUGACUGCAAUCUCAGGUGACCCAGUGAUCCCAGAACAUGAAGUAGGUGUCCAGGGAGAAGCUAGGUGACAUCAGGGUUGUAGCAGCAUUCCUCAGAGUACCUCAAAGUAGAAACUAUCCAGAUGUCCAUCAUUCGAUGAGUGAAAAACUACAAUAUGGUUGGGCACCUCCAUGGAAUAUUGUUCAGCAUGAAAUAAUGCAUAAAAAUCAUUUGGCACUGAUUUAGUCAGCCAUUUGUUACUCAAACAAAUUCCUGACACAUCACUUUACAGGCAGGAAUUGUUUCUUUUAGAUUCUAGCUGUGGAGAUAUUCUAGUUUCCUGAGCUCACUGGUUUUCUAGUUUUCUAGCUCAUUUACUGUGAAGUGAGGCAGGCUGUGGUAAAGGGAGCCCCCUUUGGAGGAAGUUUCUCACCUUGGGGGCAACUGGGAAUCAGUGAACAAGACCAGUGGUCUGGUCCACCACCAUCCAGUGGUCCUGUGCUGGGGAAUGUUCCUAUGCUGCACAGCCUGGAGAACUUCCUAAGCAGGGUUGGCUCAUGGGCCAGGACCCUAGAGGGCCACCUGUCUGUGCAUUAGAUAUAUAGGAUAGACACUUCAAUGUCUGAACUGCCUGUCUCUCAUGCUCACUGUGUUGUUCUCUCUUCCAAUAAAAGUUAAUCUUCUCAAUAGUAUCCCUGCUGAUUGCCUCUUAUAUUAGCAUUAACUGGGAAACUAAACAUGUUCCUGCAUUACAGUGUGCUUGUAAGUGUGCAUACAUAUACUUGUGUGUGUUCAUGUGAUUAUAUGUAUGCAUGUGCAUGAGCAACCCUCCCCUGAGAACACAAUCUUCUAAUGAACAGGAGCUGGAAAGCCUAGAUGAAAGACUGACGGGCCUGCUGAAGCAGAAGGAGCUGGUCACCCAGCAAAGGGACUUGGCAGAAAAGCUGCAACAUCACUUCAGUGUCUAUGAGAUGAGGUCAGAAAAUCUCCAGCAUGACCUGGAACAUGUCACAGCCCAGGAUGAGAGCCUCCUGCAGACAGAGCUGCUGGAGCAGGAGCAGGAAGUAUCACAGGCAAGUGAGCCACCACAGCAUCCCAACACUCAUACUGCUGGGGCUCUUGACCUUGGCCUCUUCUGUGUGAAUAGGCCCUGAUUUUGUCUAGCCUGUGUGGGGCCAGCCAGGCUACUUGUGGGAGUGAUUGCCUUUCCUUCUCACAGAAGCUGAAGAAGCCACAAACACCUUGGAUCCAUGAAUCUCUCCACCCUCGUAUCAAGGCCUCCUCAGAUGAAGACACGCCCUCAUAGGUGUGAACUCACCAGGGAGACAAACACCAAUUGACCUCCAGGUGAUCCAGCCCCCAUCAGAUCCAUGGGUCUGUUGACUCAGUACUCCUGAAGAAAAGAAAGCAUUAAAAAUGAGCUUGAGAUACAGAAAACCUGAGACAAGAAUUACUGAGAAGUCUGACAUUCAAUAGCAAGUGGCCCCUGUGAGGGGUAUUACAACAUGGAGGGAAGAGAUGUGGUGAACAAGACAUUUUCUGACAGUUUAAUGUCGAUGGCUUUGGCAAGCUGACUUCCCUAGCUCUCCCUACAUGUGGGAAAUAUGUCAUGGAAGACUGUGUUGAUGUCUAGCUCUUCUAAAAAGACCACACCCAAAAGCAUCAUAUUUUAUUCUCCAGUCCAGUGUUGAAGCUGACUCCAUGUCAUGCACCAGUGUUGCUGAAGAAAACGCACUACAGAGGUGGCAGAAGUCCCUCAUUCCUGUGUUAGUCAUUUUUUCCCUCCAUAUGUAAAAUUUGAGGGUAUUCUUCAGUUUCACAGCCUGGCCUGAAGUGACUGGUCCUGAGAAAGAAUUUAAUAGAAGACAUCUGAGUCAUCUUUGAUCUUUGAAAAGCC